GAGGGGUGAGGGGUUGUUUCAGCGGUGAUCUCUGCAUCGCGUGUCUUCUCUUCCCUCCAAGCUGAAUUACUUACCCAGCUUUGAAAGGAUUUCACGUUCAGGAGAUACCCCGCGCGUCGCCACCAAAGCUGAAACCUUGCAAUGGCUGCUCUUUAAUAAACGAGACUUUUAGUGAUGGAAGUGUUCAAAAUGAACGAACAGAAGAAACCCCACGUCCGAAAUUAAACUCGUGUGGGGUUUUCUUUCUGUUGGCGGAUUCGUCUUAAAAAAAUUCUGGGUAUUGCUGAUUUAAACUUGUUUAACGCUAAGUUACCGUUUUAUGUUUUAAAAAAAUCCCGGUCCCCCUCCCCUGAAGCUGGAACCCUCUGAUAGUUAGAAAAUAAUUGUCAAUAUCUGGUCAUUUUUAACCUUUCAUUUGUUGAACGUGAAUGUAGCUCUCGGCUUUAACAUAACGCCCUAUCGAGCGCAUACCACGUUUUUAUAUCUUUAACAUUGACCUAAAAAGCGCAAUUAAUUUGCCAUUUCAUUUGCGUUCGCGACUGCAAAAUCUUUUGUUUCGAUCGUAUGAUUUUUUAAAAUCGAUUAUUACUCUCCUUUCUCCGAAAAUCAUAAUAAUCUUAAUGAAGUUCAAAUAUGUAGUUAUUAGUAAUGAACGACAAAUUGUUUUUACUUAAAUGGCAUGAAAGCGUUAUCUUUUCUGAUGUCAUUAAACCCCGAAAAAUGUUCUGAUUGUGUGGGGACUUCAUGCUUUCCCUGAUUCGGUUGAUUGUCUAUAAUUACCUAUUUUUAGACCACUCUGUACAAGAUAAAAUAACUGUCUAUUGUGAGGAUGUGUAAAGUAUGUCUAUAGAAAUAACAAAAUAUGAAAAUACCAAUUUAAUUUGGUUAACUGGUGAAUUGAUCAUUCAAACACAAGUACUCCACUUUAAAUACAGAAAGAACUAACUGGACAUUGUGAUUGAAACGUUUAACCACAGUGCUGUUUUAAAAGCUUCAUUUCAGAAAGACAUCCUGGCAGAAAUAUAAUGCAAUAUGUAACAUUCAGAAUUUGAUAAUUUGCAGAAGAUAACUUUAUGGCAACAUUUGGGAGGGGGUGACAUUUGUAUCAGCGCAGUGUAGUUAUUCAAGUAGUCAGAUCAAAUUUGAAAUGUAUCUUAGUUUUUUUAGCUCUUCUAAUAGUUGUUUUUGAAUUUGGUUUAAAUCCCAGAAAUCCCAGGAAAUUUAAUUUGGAAGCUAUCAAAAAGCUAACCAAAAGCUUAUAUUCUUAAAAACGUGUUAUUUUAAUUGGGGAACCCAAGUUUCCAAAUGUAAAAUGUUAACUGCUUUUGUGGUUAAAAAUACCCAUUUCAUCUUUAUGUACCUGGGUGUGUUAAUGUUGUAAAAAAAACAUAAUUAUUUCAAACUUCGCGUUCCUAAUUUGCAAAAAAACAUAGUUGUGCAGUUGGUAUGUGUGAUAAGAACUUUUCAUCAAACUUAUAUUUAUAUCAAAGUUUGAAUUUUGGGGGGAAUUUUCUUCCAUAAUAUUUUAAACUUAAAUCUGAUGUAUGCCUUCUUCACACUAGAGUAUAUAAUAUUGCAUAUUUGUUUUAUUACUUUAUUGUAAUCCUUGCAAAGAGAAUGAUUAUUUCAAAUGUUAAAAAGUUACAAAUGUGGAGUAAAACCUGCUUUGAUUAAGGACAAAUGAAGUGGUGAUUGAUUAUUAAAAAAAAAAAAACUUUUCAAACAUUUAAAUAGCAUAUGUUUGUGAAUAAGAACAGUUCUUUAUUUUUUCUUUACAUUCAGGGUAAUCCUGAUGGUGAAUUUAAAUAACUGAUUUAUAUUAAAGUGCUUGACCUCUGGAGUUUGCCUAUCCAAAUAAAUACAUUGGAUUUAUAAUUCACACUGUUCAACAUAUUUAGUUGUCAAAAUUUAAAAAAAUGAUUAAACAUGAGAUUGAAACAUUAUAAAACAAUUUUUAAACUAUUAUGAAAGAUUUGCAAUUUUAUGGAAUAAUAAGUUUGAGAAUUAUUUUGAUAAUUACAGUACAAAAUGGAUUGUGUUCUUUGUUAUUAAAUCCAAGACACUUUUAAAAGAUUUAAUUGUUUUAUGGAAGUAUUUGCAUUACUCUGUUAUAUGAAUAUGCAGAUACAAUCCGAUACCUGUAUUGUAAAUUUUGUUGCUUGAUGUGAAUCUAGCCGGUUUAAAGCUUUGAUUGGACCAAUGAGGCAUAAUUCUGUGCACGAUUUUUGUUUUUAAAAGCCCACAUAUACAACCUAAUGGCAUUGUUUUAUUUCAGGCUGAUUUACGUAACAUUGAUUGUAUUGGUGUCGAUAUUUGAAUCCCUUCAUCUUUCAUGAUAAGUUGUGAAUAUCAUAUUAACAUCACUAAUGUUUCUGUAAUCAUUCUCACAACUUUAGAAUUAUUAAAAUAUGCAUUGUUAAUCGUUUCUGGGAAUCCUGCAUUCUGUAUUCUGCAACUUUCUAAUAAAGCUGAUUGCAUUUUCUGUUGAA